CCCUCCAAAGUGCUGGGAUUACAGGUGUGAGCCACUGCACCUAGCUGAGAAAUGGUUUUAUAAUAGUAAUUGGAGACUGCACCGCUGUCAUCAUAGCUACCAUUUGUUGAGCACUUACUAUAUGCCAAGACUAUCCUAGGCACUUUAUGUUUAUAAACUCAUUUCAUUCACAACAGCCCUUGUGGCAGCUUCAAUUACUAUCCCGAUUUUGCUGAAGAGGAAACUAUGGCAUAGAAAAGUUAAAUGACGUGCCCAAGGUUUACAAAGGUGUAAGUGGAAGAUCUUGGAUUAUAAGACUCUUCUGGGAAAUUAGAUUUGAUCUUAGAGGUUUCCUAGUCUCAUUUCCCAUUGAGGAAGGGAUUCCUUUCUCUGACAAUCCUGGUUCUAUGGACUCUGCAGGAGCAUUGAAGAUGGGAGAUCACUGCUUCAACAGCAAGACAUUCUAGUAUGGGCUAUUCUAAUUGCUAGAAAGUUUUUUUUCCUAUGUUGAGGUGAAAUCUCACAACUUUGAUUCACUAGUCUUUGUAAUAACAGAAAAUAAGCCCAUUGUUCUGACUGUUGAGAUAUGUGAAGGUUUUCAUGUCAUUCACCACCAACCCCAACAUCAGUUGGAGACUUAAUACCAUACUUUCAAUAAAAUAACAUUUAGACAGCAGAAUAAGGAAACAGAAGUCUUGAACAACACUAUAAGUCAAUGAAACCUGACAGAUUUAUGUAGAACACUUAACCCAACCACACCAGAGUCAACAUUCUUCUCAAGUGUACCUGGAACAUUCUUCAGGAUAGACAUAUGUAAGACCACAAAACAAGUUCCAAUAGCUUCUUCCCCACCUCCGGCUGCCGGCAGGACCUUUCUGUCACUGCUGCUGGGACCCUGUGUCAUCACCCAGGCCGAGCACGAUGCCCCCUAAAAAGGGAGGUGAUGGAAUUAAACCACCCCCAAUCAUUGGAAGAUUUGGAACCUCACUGAAAAUUGGCAUUGUUGGAUUGCCAAAUGUUGGGAAAUCUACUUUCUUCAGUGUAUUAACCAGUAGUCAGUCUUCAGCAGAAAACUUCCCAUUCUGCACUAUUGAUCCUAAUGAGAGCAGAGUGCCUGUGCCAGAUGAAAGGUUUGACUUUCUUUGCCAAUACCACAAACCAGUGAGCAAAAUUUCUGCCUUUCUAAAUGUAGUGGUUAUUGCUGGCCUUGUGAAAGGAGCUCACAAUGGGCAGGGCCUGGAGAAUGCUUUUUUAUCUCAUAUUCGUGCCUGUGAUGGCAUCUUUCAUCUAACACAUGCUUUUGAAGAUGAUGAUAUCACGCAUGUUGAAGGAAGUGUAGAUCCUAUUUGAGAUACAGAAAUAAUACAUGAAGAGCUUCAGCUUGAAGAUGAGGAAAUGAUUGGGCCCAUUAUAGAUAAACUAGAAAAGGUGGCUGUGAGAGGAGGAGAUAAAAAACUAAAACCUAAAUAUGAUAUAAUGUGCAAAGUAAAAUCCUGGGUUAUAGAUCAAAAGAAACCUGUUCGCUUCUAUCAUGAUUGGAAUGACAAAGAGAUUGAAGUGUUGAAUAAACACUUAUUUUUGACUUCAAAACCAAUGGUCUACUUGGUUAAUCUUUGUGAAAAAGACUACAUUAGAAUGAAAAACAAAUGGUUGAUAAAAAUUAAAGAGUGGGUGGACAAGUAUGACCUAGGUGCCUUGGUCAUUCCUUUUAGUGGGGCCUUGGAACUCAAGUUGCAUGAAUUGAGUGCUGAGGAGAGACAGAAGUAUCUGGAAGCGAACAUGCCACAAAGUGCUUUGCCAAAGAUCAUUAAGGCUGGGUUUGCAGCACUCCAACUAGAAUACUUUUUCACUGCAGGCUCGGAUGAAGUGCAUGCAUGGACCAUCAGGGAAGGGGCUAAGGCUCCUCAGGCUGCAGGAAAGAUUCACACAGAUUUUGAAAAGGGAUUCAUAUGGCUGAAGUAAUGAAAUACAAAGAUUUUAAAGAGUAAGGUUCUGAAAAUGCAGUCAAGGCUGCUGGAAAGUACAGACAACAGGGCAGAAAUUAUAUUGUUGAAGAUGGAGAUAUGAUCUUCUUCAAAUUUAACACACCUCAACAACCGAAAAAGAAAUAAAAUUUAGUUAUUGCUCAGAUAAACAUACAACUUCCAAAAGGCAUCUGAUUUUUUUAAAAUUAAAAUUUCUGAAAACCGAUGGAACAAUUAAAGUUGGGAAGAUGGGAAUCUUCGACAAAUUAUUUUUGUUUGUUUUAAAAUUAAAAUACUGUGGACCCCUCCACCAAUGAAAUGCAAAUUCACUAAAUGUGAAUAGCUUUGCUUUUCACAUGAUUAAGACCCUACUCCAAAUUGUAGAAGCUUUUCAGGAACCAUGUUACUCUCACGAUACUUCAUUAAUCUCCAUCAUGUAUGCCAAGUCUGACACAUUUGACAGUGAGGACAAUGCGGCUUACUCCUUUUUGAAUCUACAGAUAAUGCGUGUUUUACAGUACUCCAGAUGUCUACACUCAGUAAAACAUUUGACAAAAAAAAA